AUCCCAUCCGCAUCCAGCCAGUCGAAAUCGAGUAUUCUCUCUCCAACAGAGCCUGGUACAUUCAGAUUCCGACUUCCUGGUUCCUGCAGCAGGAUGCGUUCGUGACUCCCUACACCCCAGCGCCGCUUCCGCGUGGGAUGAUCGAGCUCUCAGCGCCGCCACACGCUUCGCGGUCCCCAGCGCCACGUGGGAUGACCAGACGCUCAGCGCCGCCACACGGUCGGGCUCCCCAGCGCCGCGUGGGAGUGGGACGACCGUACGCUCGGCCUGACGCUCGACGCUCCCUGCCAGAUCCGACUUGGCGCUCCUCGUCUCGGGUGACUCGGGUCCGGUGCCGCUCCUCCCUCUCCGCCUGUCUCAACACUCCGCCCGCUCGGCUCCUACUAUCCUUCACUGUCGUGGCACCGCCGUGACUAGUCAGGUAGUCUCAGAUGGAAUUUUCACUGAAGGCAGGGUUUUGAUCCUUGAAUAGUAAGUUUUCAGUUAAUGGGCCAUGUUGAUUUGAUUAUAGCAGACUUUUUUCUGUAUGCGGGGAUAGUAGCCUUGACAGCAUUAAGUGGCAUUAGUGCUACAUUCCUCAGCUUGCCUGCAGGGAUCAGGCAGGGAAAAAUUAUUGGUACUAAGUAUUUAUUUAGAAUUACAAUUCACCUUGGUUUUGUUAUAGAUCAAUAUGAAAGGAUGUUCGAUUUGGGCAUAAGCUAAAAAGAACUUGUGAGAGUAUUUGAUUCUGCAAAGCACUUUCGAACACUAAAAUGAGCUUAAUUCGAAUAUCCCAAUUAAUAAUGAUUUAUCUGUAUAUCCUUUUCAUCUAAUAAUAGCAUUACUUGCAUAUAGAUAACAUCAGGUGUUGUUUUUUGUCACGUGAUGCUUCCCCUUUUCCUUCCAAGAAGAUUUAUGCAUUGUUCGAUGGGCUCCUGAUACUGCCAGGAGUGACCCUUCCACUGCUGCUAACUUCGAGCUUGAUCAAAAGGUCUUUCUACUCAUAUGCAAGGUGUAAGACUAUCGAGUUAUGUGGUAUAUUGGUGUUGAUCAUUCAUGUAAUCACUUUGAGGCUAUGGGUGUUUGCCUUGCUCAUACUUAUUUAAUUUGCUUCCAUCUGUGGUGCCUGAUCUUGACUCCUUUCUUCUCCAUGAGUGAAGCUCGUUUGUUUUCUUUA